rnacentral:rRNA from 1 species
UGGGGAAUAUUGCACAAUGGGCGAAAGCCUGAUGCAGCGACGCCGCGUGAGCGAAGAAGGCCUUCGGGUCGUAAAGCUCUGUCCUAUGGGACGAUAAUGACGGUACCAUAGGAGGAAGCCCCGGCUAACUACGUGCCAGCAGCCGCGGUAAUACGUAGGGGGCGAGCGUUGUCCGGAAUGACUGGGCGUAAAGGGUACGUAGGCGGCUGAGUAAGUCAGAUGUGAAAGGUUAGGGCUUAACCCUAGUGAGCAUUUGAAACUGCUCAGCUUGAGUCGAGGAGAGGAAAGUGGAAUUCCUGGUGUAGCGGUGAAAUGCGUAGAUAUCAGGAGGAAUACCAGUGGCGAAGGCGACUUUCUGGCCUUAGACUGACGCUGAGGUACGAAAGCGUGGGGAGCAAACAGG